rnacentral:piRNA from 1 species
UGUGCUUGCUCCCUGUCUCUUCAG